rnacentral:tRNA from 1 species
AUUUAUAUAGUUUAAUAAAACAUUACAUUUUCAUUGUAAAAUUAAAAAAAUUUUUUUAUAAAUA